CUCUGCCAAAACAGCACCAUCGAGGGAGAUCUGACAAGGGCAUGGGUGGGAGGAUGGACAUCCUCGGUGAGAAGAAACUGAGAAAGACUCGACAGCCAAAUGCAAUGUGGUCUUGCACCAGAAUGCAGUGGUCUCAUUCCAGCUCACAGCAGCCUCAAACUCCUGGUCUCCAGCCAUCCUCUCACAUCAGCUUCCCAAGCGGCUGGGACUACAUGCGCUCUCUGGCUUGUUAAUGCCCUGACCUUGGCAUCUGUGCUCGGACGACGGCUAAUGUGUUCUGCUCCAACAAUGCCGGCUAUUGGCAAGGAACAUAAGCUCGCCUGGUGAUGUCAUUGAACUCAUUAGGGAUGUAUUUGACAUUUUGGCCCAAGAGAGCAUACUCACUAAACAUAAUUUUCAUGAACAGCAGUGUGGCCUGUUGAUAUGUGAACUAAAACAAUACAUGUUUUGUCCUGCUAUAAAAAUAGCACUUUGACCAAGAAAUAGGAUUUCUGCUCGUAUCUCCCUCAUUAUGGUAGCAGAGCAAAGGGAAAGAUAACUUGCGUACCAGGAGAUAACAGUCUGAAACACUCAGUGCUCUGCUAGGCAUUUUCGACAACUCUAAGAAAGGCCCAAAUAUUAAUUGAUCAUUUAGCAAACAAUCCCUUUCUCAGUCCUGACUGGAGGCCAGAGUCAGAGGUUAAUGCUGCUGAGAUAAUAUUGCUAGAAAAAAACCUAAGUAGACAGCAGCAACAUCUAAAUUAUGCUAUUAGUCCAGAUAUAUUUGGGAACUGAUAAACCUGGCAAAAUGUUGUCUUUCAAGGACUCCAAUCAAUUGCAAUUUUAUCACCCCAUCUAUUCAGUAAAGAUGGCUUGACCCAGACAUGGCAGACAGGAAGGAAAGCUUGAAAAGGUUACAGUCACACUUCUGAUCUUUGGCAUCGUUAAGAAGUUUGCUCGAAUGCUGCAAUGUGAGCUUCCUUUCAGCACUGAGGAAAUGCAAAUCUUUAAUUAGGGCUUAAAAGAAAUAAAAUCCCAGCUAUAUAUCUUUUAAGAUCUUUUUAAACCAAAUGACUUUUAGACAUUUGAAUGGAGUUUUCCUCAUUUACGGAGUAGUGUGACUAAAGGAAGUUGGACAUGAAUCGAGCUGCAAUAAACCUUCUGGUCCAAAUGUCUUUCUGGCAAAAUGAUUUUUGUGUUUCUGGGUAGAUACUGAGUAACAGAACUGCAGGAUCAAAUGGACGGUCAAUUUUGAGUUCUUGGAGAAUUCUCCAUAUUGGAGAAUUAGUUGUAAUAAGGUUAUAUUAGUUUAUAAUCCCACCAGCAGGGUAGUGUGUUCCCUUCUCUCCACAUUCACACCAGCAUCUGCAGAUUUGAGAUUUUGCAAUGUGGGCUAGUCUUACUGGAGUUAGGCGCUAUCUCAUAGUGGCUUUGAUUUGCAUUUCUCUGAUAAUUAAAGACGAUAAACAUAUU